GUCGAACGAAGCAAUUUAGCGGAAGUUUUCGGAUGGAAGUUAAAUUGACUGCCUGUCGGACGGGUGAGUAACGCGUGGGUAACCUGCCUCACACUGGGGGACAACAGUUAGAAAUGACUGCUAAUACCGCAUAAGCGCACAGGAUCGCAUGGUCUGGUGUGGAAAACUCCGGUGGUGUAAGAUGGACCCGCGUUUGAUUAGCUAGUUGGUGGGGUAACGGCCUACCAAGGCGACGAUCAAUAGCCGACCUGAGAGGGUGACCGGCCACAUUGGGACUGAGACACGGCCCAAGCUCCUACGGGAGGCAGCAGUGGGGAAUAUUGCACAAUGGGGGAAACCCUGAUGCAGCGACGCCGCGUGAGUGAAGAAGUAUUUCGGUAUGUAAAGCUCUAUCAGCAGGGAAGAAAAUGACGGUACCUGACUAAGAAGCCCCGGCUAACUACGUGCCAGCAGCCGCGGUAAUACGUAGGGGGCAAGCGUUAUCCGGAUUUACUGGGUGUAAAGGGAGCGUAGACGGUAAAGCAAGUCUGAAGUGAAAGCCCGGGGCUCAACCCCGGGACUGCUUUGGAAACUGUUUAACUAGAGUGCUGGAGAGGUAAGCGGAAUUCCUAGUGUAGCGGUGAAAUGCGUAGAUAUUAGGAGGAACACCAGUGGCGAAGG
rnacentral:rRNA from 1 species